CCUACGGGAGGCUGCAGUGAGGAAUAUUGGUCAAUGGACGAGAGUCUGAACCAGCCAAGUAGCGUGAAGGAUGACUGCCCUCUGGGUUGUAAACUUCUUUUAUAUGGGAAUAAAACGUUCCACGUGUGGGAUUUUGUAUGUACCAUAUGAAUAAGGAUCGGCUAACUCCGUGCCAACAGCCGCGGUAAUACGGAGGAUCCGAGCGUUAUCCGGAUUUAUUGGGUUUAAAGGGAGCGUAGGUGGAUUGUUAAGUCAGUUGUGAAAGUUUGCGGCUCAACCGUAGAAUUGCAGUUGAAACUGGCAGUCUGGAGUACAGUAGAGGUGGGCGGAAUUAGUGGUGUAGCGGUGAAAUGCUUAGAUAUCACGAAGAACUCCGAUUGCGAAGGCAGCUCACUGGACUGCAACUGACACUGAGGCACGAAAGUGUGGGUAUCAAACAGGAUUAGAUACCCGGGUAGUC
rnacentral:rRNA from 1 species